rnacentral:rRNA from 1 species
GAUGAACGCUGGCGGCGUGCCUAAUACAUGCAAGUCGAGCGAACAGACGAGGAGCUUGCUCCUCUGAUGUUAGCGGCGGACGGGUGAGUAACACGUGGAUAACCUACCUAUAAGACUGGGAUAACUUCGGGAAACCGGAGCUAAUACCGGAUAACAUGUUGAACCGCGUGGUUCAACAGUGAAAGACGGUCUUGCUGGCACUUAUAGAUGGAUCCGCGCCGCAUUAGCUAGUUGGUAAGGUAACGGCUUACCAAGGCAACGAUGCGUAGCCGACCUGAGAGGGUGAUCGGCCACACUGGAACUGAGACACGGUCCAGACUCCUACGGGAGGCAGCAGUAGGGAAUCUUCCGCAAUGGGCGAAAGCCUGACGGAGCAACGCCGCGUGAGUGAAGAAGGUCUUCGGAUCGUAAAACUCUGUUAUUAGGGAAGAACAAAUGUGUAAGUAACUAUGCACGUCUUGACGGUACCUAAUCAGAAAGCCACGGCUAACUACGUG